rnacentral:rRNA from 1 species
GAGUUUGAUUAUGGCUCAGGUAUGAACGCUAGCGGCAGGCUUAACACAUGCAAGUCGAGGGGUAACAGGGUUUGCUUGCAAACCGCUGACGACCGGCGCACGGGUGCGUAACGCGUAUAGAACCUACCCUUUACUGGGAGAUAGCCCGGAGAAAUCCGGAUUAAUAUCCCAUAGUAAUGUUUUAUGGCAUCGUAAGGCAUUUAAAGUUACGGCGGUAAAGGAUGGCUAUGCGUCUUAUUAGCUAGUAGGUGAGGUAACGGCUUACCUAGGCUACGAUAAGUAGGGGCCCUGAGAGGGGGAUCCCCCACACUGGUACUGAGACACGGACCAGACUCCUACGGGAGGCAGCAGUGAGGAAUAUUGGACAAUGGGCGCAAGCCUGAUCCAGCCAUGCCGCGUGCAGGAAGACAGCCCUACGGGUUGUAAACUGCUUUUAUACAGGAAGAAUAAGGGGUACGUGUACCCUGGUGACGGUACUGUAAGAAUAAGGACCGGCUAACUCCGUGCCAGCAGCCGCGGUAAUACGGAGGGUCCGAGCGUUAUCCGGAAUCAUUGGGUUUAAAGGGUCCGCAGGCGGGCGAUUAAGUCAGGGUGAAAUGGUGCGGCUCAACCGUAGCACUGCCCUUGAUACUGGUUUGUCUUGAGUCAUAGUGGAGUGGCUGGAAAUAUGUAGUGUAGCGGGUGAAAUGCAUAGAUAUUACAUAGAACACCAAUCGGCGAAGGCAGGUCCACUAACUAUCGACUGACGCUGAUGGGACGAAAGGCGGUGGGGGGAGCGGAACCGGAAUUAAGAAUAUACCCCCGGGUUAG